AAUCAACGCUGGCGGCGUGCCUAACACAUGCAAGUCGCGCGCGAAUAGGGGGGCAACCCCCUUAGUAGAGCGGCGAACGGGUGAGUAACACGUGGGUAAUCUACCUUCGAGUGGGGAACAACAUCGGGAAACUGGUGCUAAUUCCGCAUGACAUCGUCGGGGGCUUCGGUCCUGACGAUCAAAGCCGGGGAUCGCAAGACCUGGCGCUUGAAGAUGAGCCCGCGUCCCGAUUAGCUAGUUGGCGGGGGUAAUGGCCCACCAAGGCUUCGAUCGGUAGCCGGCCUGAGAGGGCGGACGGCCACACUGGAACUGAGACACGGUCCAGACUCCUACGGGAGGCAGCAGUGGGGGAAUUUUUCGCAAUGGGGGC
rnacentral:rRNA from 1 species